AAAAAAAAAAAAGGAAAGAAAAGAUCAGAUAGUUAAAUUUGUUGUAUUAAAGUGACUUGAAAAACACUACCACAUUGUGGACUUAUGGUGAACCUUCCCAUCAUUCAAUUGAAAUGUGCGUAAUGCCUAUAUUUCCUCCUUAAAUACGGUCCAAAAUAAGUUUGAUUCAUUUUUAGUUAAGCACAUAUUUAAUAAAUGAGAGUGCUAUGAGUUGAGUGGUGAUUUGUGGUUUCAGUCUAACUUGACUGCAACUUUCGGCCACUAAUGCUCUAAAGAUUUUGAGAGUUAUGCUAGAAGAGGAGAAAUGAUUGUAAUGACCAUCCAACUAUUGCUUACUUUUUAUAGAAUAACUUCUUUCCACUCUCAUUGGACCUGUUUGUGCAUGUUUCCUGAAACUCAAUAGUGUUUUGUAUCUUUGGUAGGUUUACAGGAGAUACAAGCAUU
rnacentral:misc_RNA from 1 species